rnacentral:lncRNA from 1 species
CAUCAGGGUGAUGGCAGCACCUGGGCUGGCCAUGGGCUUCAUCAGUGGAGAAAUCUGUUGCGUUUUUCUGCAGGGCGGGUCUCUGGGAACUACCAUCUCUCCCACCGCGUGUCUGCUAUUAACAGCCCCUGCCUUUCUUCCACGUUCCUCCCCAGCUGUAUUUAACAUCUCAGCUCUGCUGGUGGGGUGGGAUGAACCGGAAGGGGAACUUGCGUGCAGUGUCCCAGAAACAGAGGAAGCUGUCCCUCACCCGCCUCUUAAGGAAGAGGUAAGUGCCCGGGGAGGGGAACUCUUGUGAGCUGGAAAGUUCCUUGCCGGCCCUGAACAUUGCUGCUGCGGGAUGGGAUGCUGUGGGCAAAAGGAAUUGGUUUUUCUUCUCCUUUUGUGCGAUUAUUCUCAGGUUUUUUUGUUCCACGGUGUUGCUAAAAGUUCCCGAGUGGACUCUAGAGGUCUCCCAGAGCUGUGUUUGUUCAGGAAUAGUGUCCCAUCAUUGAUCUUUGCAGGAGACCGGGAAACUGGCUUCUAUGUCACGAUUUAGACUAUAACCUAAUUCUCACUUAAGAAUGACCCUAUUGCGGGAGUUCCCGUGGUGGCGCAGUGGUUAACGAAUCCGACUAGGAACCAUGAGGGUGCAGGUUUGGUCCCUGGCCUCGCUCUGUGGGUUCAGGGUCCAGUGUGGUGAGCUGUGGUGUAGGUUGUAGACGUGGCUUGGAUCUGGCGUUGCUGUGGCUGUGGUGUGGGUGGCAGCUACAGCUCUGAUUUGACCCCAGCCUCGGAACCUCCAUAUGCUGCAGGUGUGGCCCUAGAAAAAGAAAGACAAAAAAAAAGAAUGACCCUAUUAAGAAAUGGCAUUAUUUUGCUUGGAGAGAAGGCUUCAGAGUGACUCAAUAAUAUUUUUGAAAGCUACUUUUUUCUGUUUAUUUGACUCAUAAAGGAUUUCUACCAGACAGAAAAGGCCAGUUAUUGUCCAUAUCAUGUGUGUGUGUUAUGAAAUAAAGUUGCAUGAGGAAGAAGUUAAGUUAUAAAAGGACAGAAUUUCUCAACUCUCAGUGUUGUUGGGUAAAAAGCAAAUUGCUGAUGGAGGCUAAAAAUCUGACCCCUAGCGAUUUCUAAAAAUUCAACAUAAGAUAAACCAGGUGGCCUGAGAUUCUUUUCAAACUGUUGUCUUUAUUAUCUUGUGGUGGUGGUUGGGCAAUGGAAUCAUCUCAGCCAUUGGAUACUCCUGUUAAUAAUACUAACAGAUUAGCAAUUUUCAAGGAAUUUGGAUACUGUAAAGUGUAAGAAGAAACUCAGUUCUGAUAGAUACUUUUUUGUGGACAAAAGGAAGCACUAAGAAAGAUUGUAUAUGGGCGUUCCCGUUGUGGCUCAGUGGAAACGAAUCUGACUAGUAUCCAUGAGGACGCAGGUUUGAUCCCUGGCCUUGCUCAGUGGGUUAAGGAUCCAGCGUUGCCAUGAGCUGUAAUGUAGGUUGCAGAUGUGGCUCAGAUCUGGUGUUGCUGUGACUGUGGUGUGGGUGGCAGCUACAGCUCUGAUUUGACCCCAGCCUUGGAACCUCCACAUGCUGCAGGUGUGGCCCUAAAAAAAAAAAAAAAAAAAAAAAAAAAAA